GCGCUUCUAAACGGGCCAUGUUUUGCUGCAAUUGAUGGCUGCAACACAUGGCCCGGCAACAUUGCAAACAAUGUCAGCCACACUAUGCAAUGUUGCAGUAAUGUCCCGGCCAUAUAGCCAAACAUGUUUUGUGUAGCCACUUAUGGCCGAUAUGGCCCCGAUGGGUUGCCGAACGAUCGCUAGGCUAUCGAAUUCAACUGCAAUAUUGCACAGCCAGUUCUAUUGUUGUUUCAGUCACUCUCUUUGUUAUGGCAUAGUGUAUCCUUUUCUACGCGACAUGAAGUUUGCUAUGAGUGAAGUGUGCCUGUUGCUAUAUUCUGUGUUUUGCGAUCAGCUGGAUUUUGACAACUACGUAAAAAUGGUUACUGGUCUAACAAGACAAUUACUGAUUUUAUUGAAGAAAUACAUUUGCACCCCGAGUUGUGGGAUAUAAAAACCGGCUCAUAAAAAGAUAGAAAUUCUAAAAAAGAUGCAUGGAAUGAAAUCGCUGAAAAGUUUGGCAUAACAAGUAACGAGGCUUACAAAAAAUUCAGAAGCCUAAGAACUUACGCAAAUAAUGAGGAGAAAAAGAAGGAAAGUGGUAGUGCUGGCGGUAAAACAGUAAAGUGGUUUGCUUAAGAUGCGAUAUCGUUUCUCUUUACUCAAAAUACCACGAAUAUAGGAUUACAUAGUGAAAAUGAAAACUUCUAACGCGACUGAAACUACAUACUGACAUCAGUGCUGACCCACGUGAAGUCGUAGAAUCAGAAACAACCGACACUUUGGAAGCCGUCGAUACUACUCCAAAACCACGUACUAAAAGGCUCAAAUUAUUAUACGCGAUGCUGGCGAAAAUAAAAACGAAUAUGCUGCUACUAGAUACCUAUUAUUAUUAAAUUUAAAAAGUACAUAAUAGUUACUACCUAUGCGUAACAUAUUUAAUAAACCUAUGUUAACUUACCUUGAUGUAUUAUUUUAAUCCUUCUAUAAUAGCUGUACACACCUCUUGUAUAAAAGUUGAAAUCUAACACUCGGAACAGGUACAUAAAACUUUUAAAUGAAUCUCCUGUUGCCAAAAACCGUAGAGUUAUCGCAAAUCUCGUGAUGGCGAUGAAACAGGUAUUGCUGUUCUCAUGUUUGUAUCAUUUCUUUUUAUUUUUGGUCCAAUUUUGUUUAAGAGAAAGUCAAAGUCGCCUUUUGAAAUUCUAGCCAAGUUCUUGAAUAAUUUAUUAUCAAGGCUUAUUACUGCUAGACUCAAAUUGUCUACAGUUUCACGCCUAUUUAAAUAAGGUCGAAUCCUCAAUCUCUUCUUUUUCUGUUCUUUUAAAAUUAAUAUAAGCUGCUGCGACAAGUGUGAUUUCAUCAGCCAUUGUUGCCGGUAUGUGUGGCCCGUUUAGGAGUCUGCAUCAUGGGCCAUACUAUUGCUGACAUAUUGCAACACAUGGCCCGGCCAUACAUUGCUCGGCCAUCAUCUGCAUUAAAACAUUUUUGUGAUGGCCGGACAAUUAAUUGCCAAUAGUGCAGCCAUCAAUUGCAGAAAAACAUGGCCCGUUUAGAAGCCCCAUUAA